rnacentral:rRNA from 1 species
GGAAGUGGGGAUGACGUCAAGUCAUCAUGGCCCUUACGGCCUGGGCUACACACGUGCUACAAUGGUCGGUCAAAGGGUUGCCAAGCCGCGAGGUGGAGCUAAUCCCAUAAAACCGAUCGUAGUCCGGAUCGCAGUCUGCAACUCGACUGCGUGAAGUCGGAAUCGCUAGUAAUCGUGAAUCAGAAUGUCACGGUGAAUACGUUCCCGGGCCUU